CCUGUUGAAAAAGGCUCGGAUGACUUGUGAUUAGGGGUGAAAGGCCAAUCAAACUGGGAGAUAGCUGGUUUUCCGCGAAAACUAUUUAGGUAGUGCGUUGAAUAAUAAGAUCUUGAGGGGUAGAGCACUAAAUAGGCUAGGGGGAAGAAAUUCUUACUAAACCUAAUAAAACUCCGAAUACUCAAGAUUGUUUCUCAAUAGACAGACGGUGGGAGCUAACUUCCAUCGUCGAGAGGGAAAAAACCCAGACCACCAUCUAAGGUCCCAAAAUCGUAGUUAAGUGUGAAAGGAUGUGAAGACUCCAAAACAGCCGGGAGGUUGGCUUAGAAGCAGCCAUCCUUUAAAGAAAGCGUAACAGCUCACCGGUCUAAUUAAGAGACUUUGCGCCGAAGAUGUAACGGGGCUCAAACUACGUACCGAAGUUGUGGAUUUAAAGUGUCUACGGACAUUUUAUCUGGUAGCGGAACGUUCUGUAAGUCUGUGAAGGGAUACCCGCGAGGGGUCCUGGAGAUAUCAGAAGUGCGAAUGCUGACAUAAGUAGCGACAAACAGAGUGAAAGACUCUGUCGCCGAAAAUACAAGGGUUCCUGCGUAAAGUUAAUCUUCGCAGGGUUAGUCGGCCCCUAAGGCGAGGGCGAAAGCCGUAGUCGAUGGGAACAAGGUAAAUAUUCCUUGACCUGAUGGUAGUGACGGAUCUCGUAUAUUGUAAGUUCUUAUUGGAUUGAACUUGCCUUGAAGAGGUCCCAGGAAAUAACUCCAUCAUUAAGACCGUACCCUAAACGGACACACGUGUAUUGGUAGAGAAUACCUAGGCGCUUGAGAGAAUGAUGUUGAAGGAACUCGGCAACUUGCCUCUGUAACUUCGGGAUAAAGAGGGCCUUAUUUUGCGCAAGCAGAGUAAGGUGGCACAAGCCAGGGAGUAGCGACUGUUUAACAAAAACACAGGACUCUGCUAACACGUAAGUGGAUGUAUAGGGUCUGACGCCUGCCCGGUGCCGGAAGGUUAAAGCAAGAUGUGCAAGCAUCGAACUGAAGCCCCGGUGAACGGCGGCCGUAACUAUAACGGUCCUAAGGUAGCGAAAUUCCUUGUCGGGUAAGUUCCGACCUGCAUGAAUGGCGUAACGACUGCUCCGGUGUCUCCAACAUCAACUCAGCGAAAUUGAAUUCUCCGUGAAGAUGCGGAGUUCCCGUGGUUAGACGGAAAGACCCCGUGCACCUUUACUACAACUUUACAUUGGUAUUAGAAAUGACAUGUGUAGCAUAGGAGGGAGACUUUGAAGUGGUGGCGCUAGCUAUCAUGGAGUCGUCAGUGAAAUACCUCUCUUGUUAUUUUUGAUAUCUAACUCCAUGCCGUCAUCCGGCUGGAAGACACUGUAUGGUGGGUAGUUUGACUGGGGCGGUCGCCUCCUAAAGAGUAACGGAGGCGUGCGAAGGUAGGCUCAGAUCGGUCAGAAAUCGAUCGUUGAGUGCAAUGGCAUAAGCCUGCCUGACUGCAAGACUGACAAGUCAAGCAGAGUCGAAAGACGGUCAUAGUGAUCCGGUGGUUCUGAGUGGAAGGGCCAUCGCUCAACGGAUAAAAGGUACGCCGGGGAUAACAGGCUGAUACCGCCCAAGAGUUCAUAUCGACGGCGGUGUUUGGCACCUCGAUGUCGGCUCAUCACAUCCUGGGGCUGGAGCAGGUCCCAAGG
rnacentral:rRNA from 1 species